GUCCGGGAAUUACGAGCAAAGCUUAAAACCCAAAGGACUUGACGGUGCCCCAUAUCCCCCUAGAGGAGCCUGUCCUAUAAUCGAUAAUCCCCGUUUAACCUCACCACACCUAGCUUAUCAGCCUGUAUACUUCCGUCGCAAGCCUACCACAUGAGCGAUGCUUAGUUAGCCCAAUGUCCGCACAUAAACAUGCUAUCGACAAUACGUCAGGUCAAAGUGCAGCAAACGCUGUGGGAUGAGAUUGGCUACACUUUUUAAUCUAAAAGAAACGGAAAACAAAAUGAAACUUUGUUAUGAAGGUGGAUUUAGCAGUAAAAGAAAAACAUUAAAUUUCUUUUAACUCGGCACUGGGGUGUGU
rnacentral:rRNA from 1 species